rnacentral:misc_RNA from 1 species
AAGUCGUAACAAGGUAACCGUAGGUGAACCUGCGGUUGGAUCAUUAGCGUUUUUAGCAGCGCGCCGUUGUUGUGACCGUUUGUGGAGGGUAGUGUUUCGUUUUGUGUGUUUUGUCUUUUGUGUUUGUCUUGUGUUUUGUCGUUUGUCUUUUGGUUGGUGUUUGUCGUUUGACUUGUCGUUUGUGUUUCAUCUAUAUUUAUAUCUAUAUCUAUAUCUAUGACCACAUCGACAUGGACAUCGACAUGUCCAUCGACAUGGACAUCGACAACCACAAGCCUCAUGGACAUCGACAUGGACAUGGACAACCACAAACCUCAUGGACAGCCACUUCCAAAACUGAAACACGACUCUCGACUACACGCCAAUAAACACUUUUCUUUGCUUUGAUUUCGACUAAACUAAAACAACUUUUGACAACGGAUCUCUUGGCUCUC